ACUUGAAGUUAGAAUUUUGGCGUGGUAAUUCAAACUUUGGAACUCAUGACCGCUAAUGGUGUCGCAUUCUGCGUCUGAACUCAAAAAAUUUAACGAAUGAUUCGGUUUUCGUCUUUAAAGUUAUUUUAUUUUAUCCUAAAAUUUUCUUGAAAAUGCCACCAUCUUCAAGAA